UACGUAGGGUGCAAGCGUUGUCCGGAAUUACUGGGCGUAAAGCGUGCGCAGGCGGUUCGCCAAGUCAGGUGUGAAAUCCCCGGGCUUAACCUGGGAAUUGCGCUUGAAACUCGCGGGCUUGAGUGUGGCAGAGGGGGGUGGAAUUCCACGUGUAGCAGUGAAAUGCGUAGAGAUGUGGAGGAACACCGAUGGCGAAGGCAGCCCCCUGGGUCAACACUGACGCUCAUGCACGAAAGCGUGGGGAGCAAACAGG
rnacentral:rRNA from 1 species